rnacentral:rRNA from 1 species
UAGGGAAUCUUCCACAAUGGACGCAAGUCUGAUGGAGCAACGCCGCGUGAGUGAAGAAGGUUUUCGGACCGUAAAGCUCUGUUGUUGGUGAAGAAGGAUAGAGGUAGUAACUGGCCUUUAUUUGACGGUAAUCAACCAGAAAGUCACGGCUAACUACGUGCCAGCAGCCGCGGUAAUACGUAGGUGGCAAGCGUUGUCCGGAUUUAUUGGGCGUAAAGCGAGCGCAGGCGGAAGAAUA